UACGUAGGGCGCGAGCGUUGUCCGGAUUUAUUGGGCGUAAAGAGCUCGUAGGCGGCUCAGAAAGUCGGGUGUGAAACCUCCAGGCUCAACCUGGAGACGCCACCUGAUACUGCUGUGGCUAGAGUCCGGUAGGGGAACACGGAAUUCCCGGUGUAGCGGUGAAAUGCUUAGAUAUCGGGAGGAACACCAGUGGCGAAGGCGGUGUUCUGGGCCGGAACUGACGCUGAGGAGCGAAAGCGUGGGUAGCAAACAGG
rnacentral:rRNA from 1 species